rnacentral:lncRNA from 1 species
CGCGGACCAGUUCGCGUGCAAAAGUGUUUUGCACGAUGUCUUUUGUGUAGAUCCUGCGGCAACUUCUAUUUAACGUCGAUUGUCAAAGUCUUGUUACAAGAUAUUGGUAAGGAUGAGAUUGUUCGGUAAUAAGGUCUUACAUUUGUAAAUACAUUAAGAUGUGAUAUGUACGUCCCUCGGGGCGUUAGACUGAGAUGUGUAUCCUACGGGAUCACAAGACUGCGACUGUACAGGGUGUCCCAAUAGAACUUUAACAAUUUAUUUUCCCCUGACCAGACCAGUAGAAGGUCUCUUACUGAGUAUUUAAAAUACUCACCCUUCUUAUGUUUAAUUUUCAGGCAAAGGUAAUAAAGGCGGCAAACAGGCGAGGGGCAGGAAGGAAGCGUGAUGCCAUAGGAAACGUGUUUUUGCUUCCGCUUAUGGGUUCUUGUGAGGUUUAAAAUGAAUUGAAAUUUAGUUUACAAACGUUUGUUGUAAAUAGUACUAUUUUAUGUUUUCUUGAAUGUUUAAAAAUCAGGCCUGACUUGAAGAUGUUUUUUUUAUUUGUUUACGUUUUGUUUUAUAUUAAUCAAAGUCUUUAUUUGUUAAAAAAAUUAACGAUCUCGACUUACUUAGAAAAGUUGGGUCGUUACAGUUGGUAUCAGAGCCUAAGUUUUAGGUUCUGUAGACUGACUAACGAUGUAAGUCUAUGUUUUUGUGUUCCUAUGGCUAACGCGACCCUUCGUCUCUCGUCAGGUAUGCUUGAUGCUUAUAUGUAUGGUUUAUUUGCAUGACCUUGCCUAAAUUAAACUAGAUUGCAUGGCGAUAAAGACUUGCUUAUGCUUAUGAUUAAGAUUUUGUUAAAGAGUGUUGUUGGUGGAUAAUAGGAAUUAUGCCGCCAAGGGAAGGUGUACGUAGAGGAGGUCGUAGAGGCCGAGGUAGAGGAGCAGGUCGUAAUCAGCCUACUGAGGGUCAAGCUGAACAGCGAAUUCCUGCUGCACCCAUGACUCACGUUGAGUUUGAUGCACUGUCUGCUCACAUGGAGCAGAGGUUUACAGAACUUAUGACAGCUAUAACUCAAAACCAGCAGGCACCUGCGGUUCCACCUGCACCUGUAGUUCCCCCUGCAUCAGCAGCCCCUCCUGCACAAGGAUUACCGAACCAACUUUCUGCUGAGGCGAAACAUUUGAGGGACUUUCGGAAGUAUGACCCUCAGACGUUUGAUGGGUCACUGGAGGAUCCUACUAAAGCUGAAAUGUGGUUGUCCUCUAUGGAAACCAUAUUUAAUUACAUGAGAUGUCCCGAGGAGCACAGAGUUCAGUGUGCUGCUUUUCUACUGAGGGACAGAGGCAUUAUCUGGUGGAGGACUACAAUGCGCAUGCUAGGUGGAGAUGUGAGGCAAAUUACCUGGGAUCAGUUUAAGGACUGCUUCUAUACCAAGUUUUUCUCGGCUAACCUUAGAGACGCCAAAAGCCAGGAAUUCUUGGAGUUGAAGCAAGGAUAUAUGACAGUCGAGGAGUACGACCAGGAGUUUGAUAUGCUGUCACGUUUUGCCCCUGAGCUUGUUAGUAAUGAGCAGGCUAGAGCUGAUAGGUUCGUCAAGGGAUUGAGAGAUGAAAUUAGGGGCUUUGUGCGAGCACUAAAGCCCACUACCCAAGUUGAAGCACUGCGUCUGGCAGUGGAUAUGAGCAUUGGGAAGGAUGAAAUACAACCAAGGAGCUUUGAUAAGGGAUCGUCGUCGGGUCAAAAGAGAAAAGUAGAGUAGAGAACUGUAGGAGUUCCUCAGAGGAACUUGAGACCAGGCGAUCCUUUUCGCAGUUUCCAACAGAGUUCUGGCGGGGCAGGAGACACUACUCGAGAGAGGCCAGUAUGUAAUACGUGUGGGAAACGCCAUCUGGGUCGUUGUUUGAUGGGAACGAGAGUCUGUUAUAAGUGCAAGCAAGAGGGACACAUGGCUGAUAGGUGUCCCUUGAGAUCUACUGGGGCUGGAUCGAGCAGUCAGGAAGAGAGACCUCCACAGCGGGGUACAAUCUUUGCCACUAAUAGAUCAGAGGCAGAGAAGGCCGGCACAGUAGUGACAGGUACAUUACCAGUGUUAGGGCAUUUUGCCUUGACCUUGUUUGACUCGGGAUCUUCUCAUUCAUUUAUUUCAUCGCUUUUUGUGACGCAUGCAUGCUUAGAGGUGGAACCCUUAGACUAUGUUUUGUCAGUGUCUACACCGUCUGGAGAAAUUAUGUUGUCUAAGGAAAAGAUUAAAGCAUGUGAAAUUGAGAUAGCUGGUCGUGUGCUGGACGUAACCUUGUUGGUAUUAGAUAUGCGUGACUUUGAUGUAAUUUUAGGUAUGGAUUGGCUAGCUACUAAUCAUGCUAGUAUUGAUUGUUCUCGUAAGGAAGUUGUGUUCAGUCCCCCUACUGCAUCUAGCUUUAAAUUCAAGGGGUAGGAACAGUAGUACUGCCUAAAGUAAUCUCAGCUAUGAAAGCUAGUAAACUACUCAACCAGGGUACUUGGAGUAUUUUGGCAAGUGUGGUAGAUACUAGGGAAGGUGAGACUUCUUUAACUUCCGAACCUGUGGUAAGAGACUACCCAGAUGUAUUUCCAAAAGAUCUUCCAGGACUACCGCCACAUAGAGAGGUUGAUUUUGCCAUUGAGUUGGAGCCAAAUACUACUCCUAUUUCUAGAGCCCCUUAUAGGAUGGCUCCUGCUGAGUUGAAAGAACUGAAGGUACAGUUACAGGAAUUGCUUGACAAAGGCUUUAUUCGACCUAGUGUGUCACCUUUGGGGUGCACCAGUAUUGUUUGUGAAGAAGAAGGAUGGGUCGAUGCGUCUUUGCAUUGACUAUAGAGAGUUGAAUAAAGUAACAGUCAAGAACAGAUAUCCUUUACCCAUAAUCGAUGAUUUGUUCGAUCAGUUACAGGGAGCCACGGUGUUCUCUAAGAUUGACUUACGGUCAGGUUAUCACCAUUUGAGGAUUAGAGACCGUGAUAUUCCUAAGACUGCUUUUCGUUCGAGGUAUGGACAUUAUGAAUUCAUAGUAAUGUCUUUUGGUUUGACUAAUGCACCUGCUGUAUUUAUGGAUUUGAUGAACAGGGUGUUUAAGGAUUUCUUGGACACUUUUGUGAUAGUCUUCAUUGAUGAUAUUUUGGUUUAUUCCAAGACUGAAGCCGAACAUGAGGAACACUUACAUAAGGUGUUAGAGACUCUUCGAGUCAAUAAACUGUAUGCUAAGUUCUCUAAGUGCGAAUUUUGGUUGAAGCAGGUGGCUUUUCUUGAUCAUGUGGUUUCCAGUGAGGGAGUUUCAGUAGACCCAGCAAAGAUAGAAGCGGUUACCAGUUGGUCUCGACCCUCUACAGUUAGUGAGGUUCGUAGUUUUCUGGGUUUAGCAGGGUACUACCGGAGGUUUGUGGAGGAUUUUUCACGUUUGGCUACUCCUUUGACUCAGUUGACAAGGAAGGGAACUCCGUUUGUUUGGAGUCCAGCUUGCGAGGACAGUUUUCAGAACUUAAAGCAAAGGUUAGUUACUGCACCGGUCCUUACUGUACAAGAUGGAUCUGGAAGUUUUGUGAUUUACAGUGAUGCUUCCAAGAAAGGACUAGGUUGUGUUUUGAUGCAGAAAGGUAAGGUGGUUGCUUAUGCUUCUCGUCAGUUGAAGAGUCACGAGCAGAACUACCCCACACAUGAUUUGGAGUUGGCAGCAGUGGUUUUUGCAUUGAAGAUAUGGAGACAUUACUUGUACGGUGAAAAGAUACAAAUCUUUACUGACCAUAAGAGCCUAAAGUACUUCUUCACUUAGAAGGAGUUGAAUAUGAGACAGCGAAGGUGGCUCGAGUUGGUAAAAGAUUAUGACUGUGAGAUAUUGUACCAUCCUGGUAAGGCGAAUGUGGUGGCUGAUGCUCUUAGUAGAAAAGUAUCACAUUCGGCAGCACUCAUUACUAGACAGGUACCAUUGCAUCGAGACUUGGAGAGAGCUGAGAUUGCAGUGUCUGUGGGGAGAGUCACCUCACAGCUGGCUCAAUUAACGGUGCAACCGACUCUGAGGCAGAAAAUUGUUGAUGCUCAGAGUAGUGAUCCUUAUUUGAUGGAGAGACGUCGCCUUGUUGAAACAGGGCAGAUUGAUGAGUUCUCCAUAUCCUCUGAUGGUGGGUUGAUGUUUGAAAGACGUUUGUGUGUGCCAGCGAACAGUACAGUUAAGAUUGACUUACUAGAUGAAGCCCAUAAUUCCCCAUUUUCAAUGCAUCCUGGUAGCACGAAAAUGUAUCAGGAUUUAAAACGAUUUUACUGGUGGCGGAAUAUGAAAAGGGAAGUGGCGGAAUUUGUUAGUAAGUGUCUAGUAUGUCAGCAAGUUAAGGCACCUAGACAGAAACCAGCAGGUUUGUUACAACCCUUAAGUGUGCCAGAGUGGAAGUGGGAGAAUGUGUCGAUGGAUUUUAUUUCAGGGCUGCCUAAGACCCUGAAGGGUUUCACAGUGAUUCUGGUUGUCAUAGACAGGCUUACGAAAUCGGCACAUUUUGUACCAGGAAAAUCCACUUAUACUGCUAGUAAGUGGGCAGAGUUGUAUUUAACUGAGAUUGUGAGACUGCAUGCAGUACCUGUAUCGAUUGUUUCUGAUAGGGAUGCACGGUUUACUUCCAAGUUUUGGAAGGGACUUCAGACUGCUAUGGGUACGAGAUUGGAUUUUAGUACAGCCUUUCAUCCACAGACUGAUGGUCAAACUGAACGUUUGAACCAAGUUUUAGAGGAUAUGCUACGAGCUUGUGUUAUAGAGUUUCCAGGUAGUUGGGACUCUCAUCUACAUUUGAUGGAGUUUGCUUAUAACAACAGUUUCCAGGCUACCAUCGGUAUGGCACCAUUUCAGGCUUUGUAUGGCAAAUGUUGUAGAACCCCUGUUUGUUGGAGUGAGGUUGGUGAACAUAGAUUGAUGGGACCUGAAUUAGUUCGGUCUACUAAUGAGGCUAUUCAAAAGAUUAGAGCACGUAUGCAAACAGCGCAGAGUAGACAGAAGAGUUAUGCGGAUGUACGACGAA